rnacentral:rRNA from 1 species
AACGAACGCUGGCGGCAUGCCUAAUACAUGCAAGUCGAACGAGACCUUCGGGUCUAGUGGCGCACGGGUGCGUAACGCGUGGGAAUCUGCCCUUGGGUUCGGAAUAACAUCGGGAAACUGAUGCUAAUACCGGAUGAUAUCGAAAGAUCAAAGAUUUAUCGCCCAGGGAUGAGCCCGCGUAGGAUUAGCUAGUUGGUGGGGUAAAGGCUCACCAAGGCGACGAUCCUUAGCUGGUCUGAGAGGAUGAUCAGCCACACUGGGACUGAGACACGGCCCAGACUCCUACGGGAGGCAGCAGUAGGGAAUAUUGGACAAUGGGGGCAACCCUGAUCCAGCAAUGCCGCGUGAGUGAUGAAGGCCUUAGGGUUGUAAAGCUCUUUUACCCGGGAUGAUAAUGACAGUACCGGGAGAAUAAGCCCCGGCUAACUCCGUGCCAGCCGCCGCCGUAAUAC